rnacentral:siRNA from 1 species
UCAAUGGACAAUGAAUCAGAAG